UUCUAUGUCUCUUUCGUUUUCUGUAAAAGAUCGAAUUGCGCUUUUGGUUCUAUCUAGAUCUGUAUAUUAUUUGGAUGGUCCUGUUGAGCAUGCGGUCGUGAUUGUAUGACUGCUACACUCUCGUAACAUUGUCACUCGUCACGGCGUUAUGUACGUAAGAGUCGCUAUCUUCGGCAUCUGGUACCGACCGAUGGACUCUCAUUCCACUUUGUCCCAAUCUAACCAAAUUAACCUUCACCUCACACGCCUGUGAUUUACCUCCUGACUCUUGCAAAUGCGGUUUAGACAGCAGUUGUGCAUGCUUCAUCUAUGUAUCACCUUCAAGAGGAAUCUUAUUCUGGAUCAUCUUGCAAGCAAUCUCGAACAAGUAAUCCAAGCACUCUGCUUGAGUCUUCGCUUGUUCCCAGGUGUUACCUAUGGGUCACAUCAGUUAUCGAGGCCGACUAAUAUCAGUUAAUGCCACUUACCCCAAACAUAGACACCAUGCCUUCUGACCAAAAUGGCGGGCGCGUUUGGGUACUUGGUCAUUGCCUGAUAGAUCCAUGUCAAUGCAAUUCAAUCAUUCAAGGCAUGGUGUUUACUUACAGCAGCCAUGCCCUCCGUCAGAUCUUCUUCAAACGCCGUGUUGUCAAUUAUGGGUACUUCGAGGGUUUCGAAAAACUUCAGUGUCUUUCCAACACCGCCCAAACGGACACCCUUAAUCAUCUCUUGGUGGGAAAUUCGGAAGCUAGGAGCAUCGCGAGGAAGAAGGAGGGUCAGAAGUACUAUGAAAAGUCAGCAUAUGAGGCACUAUUACUGUAGUUGGGGGACUUACCGG
rnacentral:sRNA from 1 species